AGCAACUGCAGGAGCUAUGAUUGA
rnacentral:siRNA from 1 species